GUCAGGCGGGGCAGCAGGUGCACAAGCUGUCCCUCCAGAGUGAGGCUGGUCCAGUGCCCAGGGGGCGGGAGCUGUGUGACAUCACUAAGUUGUUACCUAGGCGCACUCUGUGGGUCACCGACUCGGUUCAGGUCCCUCUCUGCGCGGAACCAGGCGGGAUCCCUGGCGUUUGUCCUCACAGAGCUGACGGCUGAGACGGGGAGGUGCCCAUACUCCUCCCAGCGCGUGCCUACGCUGGUGAGGCAUCCUGACAGCGCUGGGCGACAGGCUCGUCCUGAAUGUCCCACGGGAAGCAGAGACCUGGCUCACAGAGUUCACAGGCCAGAUAGCCCAGGGCUCAGGGGAAGUGUCCUCACAGGUGGGCUGCGUAGACUCUGAUGUGUGCGGAUGAUCUGGGUCGAUGGUGGGGGUUCCAAGCAGUCAGCAGUUGGCAUAAGCGAGGUUGGGUGGCACUGGGCCCAGGGAGUCAGGACGGAGGUUAGUAAUUUCUAGUUAAGGUCAUGAGGGAUUAGCUCAGGAGAGGGGCAGGGCAGGGGCUGCAUGUGGAAUGCAGGCAGGACCCCGGGAGAGGCACAACCAGAGGCGAGCGGGAGGCUGCUCAGGUCGCACCAGCGGGUCCUACAGGAGCAGGGGAACCCCACUUGGCCAGUUGGUCCCGCACAGGCACCGAUGCAGUCCUGCAGUCUGAGGGCUCCCAUGGGACAGGAGGGCCACGCUCUGCCCUGAGCUCCGGUGCAGGCUGACGGUGGCACCGGGAUCCGUCCCAGAGCUUUCCGGACCUGGGGACGCAAUCUCAGAAGAGAUGCUCCUGUGACUCUCAUCACUGAGGGGAUGACAAAGGUGUUAGGAGCCAUGUGCGGGACGCAGGAGCAAGACCACGACCAUCCUUCCUGCUGGAUCACCACAUCCAGUCUAGAGAGUGCAUGUUCCCCACGGAGGAGCCAGGGCGGCUGCAGGGGCAGAUGCUGCAGGGGCUUCGGAGGCAGGCUCCGCCCCCUCCGACCCUGCCUGGUCCCGGGGAGGAGGUGGGCAGGCCCCCACCCCACAGCGCCCCAUGGCUGUGAGCUCCAGGAGGACAUCAGGACCCUGGGGCAGUGGCAGGAUGGCUACAACAAGGGCGGUGACCCGAAUUUGGACACAGGGCUGCCUCUGGUGGCCUCCUCAUUGGCUCUCAGCAGCACAGAGGGGAGGCCGUGGCACUCUGUGGAGGGACAAGAUGUACUGGAGGAGCAGUGCUUCCUGUGGCUGCACAGGCCCAGGCCGGGAGAAAGUUCUCUCAGGAGAGCACAGGACUAGCUCUGAGGCUCGUGUUUUCACCUUUCAGCCUCUUCCCCCUAGAGAUCCUGUAGCUUUGCAGGGAGUCAACAGCCCUCAGAAUCCAGUGCAGCUGUGACACCCAAGGCCAGGGAGUGAUCAGAGGACCCCUCAGCCCCACCGCUGUGGCCCUGCCAUUGAAUCUGCAUGAAGACCACCUGGCCUCCAGGUUCAAUUAAGUGCUUGUGAUUCUCCCAAUGAGGACUCCCAAUAAUAAUAAGAAGAAAACAGGAGCUACAUUGGUGGGACUCCCUUCUCCGGGGUUCUGGUUGAUAAAAAUUUCAGGCAAUGUUUUAAGGGAUUAGGUGAAUUGAAUCAUUUAAAGCUUCAUAAUAACCCUGUGAGAUGGCGAAAGGUACCAACCCCAAUUCAUGGUCAAGGAAACCAAGGUCACGCAGAGGUUAAGUGAUUUGAUUGGCUCACACAUGCCAUCAUUAAAUAGCCAUCUUCCCUGUCACCACACAGGUCCACUCUGAGUCCCCUUCCUCCCUGCACUUCCCAACGUCUCACACACACACUUCCUUAGCUACUAGCACACAGUCCGCCCCUCACCACCAGAAGAUGUGCCCUACCAGGUGGGCACAUUUAGCCUGUUUUUGCUGCCCUGAGGUGUCCUAGAUGCCUCAAUAGUGUUCCUGUGUCUCGCACUCAAUUGCCACUUGGGGAAAGGAUCAGCAUAGAGCACCUGUCUCUUCUAGAUGACCCCCAGGCCACAGGUUCUCAUGGCAGGGACCACUUUCCUCACCAGCGCUGGUCUCCUCCACGACGUCCCCAUGUCCUCCUCCCACAGCAUCCCUCCUGCACAGCACAGGAAACAACUACAGUUCUCCCUUCAGAAAAGGGAUACCCAGAUUAUGGGUCAUGCAUUCCAGACAAAUGUGG